rnacentral:rRNA from 1 species
GACGAACGCUGGCGGCGUGCUUAACACAUGCAAGUCGAACGGAAAGGCCCUGCUUUUGUGGGGUGCUCGAGUGGCGAACGGGUGAGUAACACGUGAGUAACCUGCCCUUGACUUUGGGAUAACUUCAGGAAACUGGGGCUAAUACCGGAUAGGAGCUCCUGCUGCAUGGUGGGGGUUGGAAAGUUUCGGCGGUUGGGGAUGGACUCGCGGCUUAUCAGCUUGUUGGUGGGGUAGUGGCUUACCAAGGCUUUGACGGGUAGCCGGCCUGAGAGGGUGACCGGGCAACAUUGGAAUUGGGAUCCGGCCCGGACUCCUACGGGAGGCAACAGGGGGGAAUAUGGCACAAGGGGCGGAGGCCGGAUGCAGCAACGCCGCGUGCGGGAGGACGGCCUUCGGGUGGAAAACCGCUUUCGCCUGUGACGAGGCGUGGGGGACGGUAAGGGGUAAAGAAGCACCGGCUAACUACGU